GUGUCAGCAGCCGCGGUAAGACGAACCGUGCGAACGUUGUUCGGAAUCACUGGGCUUAAAGGGCGCGUAGGCGGGCCGGACGGUCCGCGGUGAAAUCCCCCCGCUCAACGGGGGAACGGCCGCGGAUACCGCCGGCCUCGAGGGGGGUAGGGGCGAGCGGAACGCUGGGUGGAGCGGUGAAAUGCGUUGAUAUCCAGCGGAACUCCGGUGGCGAAGGCGGCUCGCUGGACCCCCACUGACGCUGAGGCGCGAAAGCCAGGGGAGCGAACGGGAUUAGAUACCCCCGUAGUCC
rnacentral:rRNA from 1 species